GCUGGGCGUGGUGGCUCACGCCUGUAAUCCCAGCACUUUGGGAGGCUGAGGUGGGUGGAUCACCUGAGGCCAGGAGUUUGAGACCAGCCUGGCCAACAUGGUGAAACCCCAUCUCUA
rnacentral:SRP_RNA from 1 species